ensembl:lncRNA
GGGGUCCUGCGGGUGGCGCUCUUCCCACCUCGCAUCCCGGCUUGAGCCCCCGACGCUUGGCUGUGCUGGGGGGACAGGCCCAGGGCAGCGGCCGGCAGGGGCACGGGCGGGCACAGCCUUUGGGAAGUCGGAGCGCCCGCCCCGUCCUGACUCGGCUCGGAGAGGAAAAGUCUCAGCAGGACGGCGGUUGGCCUCCAGCACCCUCGACCUGCCGACCAGGGCCGGGGCGGGAGCCCUCGCCUUCCCCCGAAGCCCCGGAACCCAGGGCAUCAGCCCACAGGGCUUGUCACCGUCUCCAGGCUCCCUUUGGACCGUCAGCCCCUGAAAACUUCAGGGUUCCCAGCGCGGGCCGAGCUCUCAGGCGUGCUUAAGGCUUAUUGAAUACAUGAGGCGACAGAGGCUCAGAGAGAAGAAGCAACUUGCCUGACGUCACACAGCAAGUAAGAGGCAGAGCCUCUUUGGACACAGGCCUGCCUGACCUAGGGCCUGCUCCCUGAAGCCUUCAGCUGUGACAGCCACCUCUUACCAGCUCUGCAGCGACGCUCGGCUUGGGGAGCCCAGGCUCAUCCACCCUCCUCCUUUGGCCUGGGGGCUGGGGUGCUCUUGACCUUGCUUCUUUUUUCAAAACGUGUAUUUAUUUUUUUGGCCAUCUCAGGACAGAGUUGGCAGCGGGAUCCUUCACUGUGGCACGUGGGCUCAGCUGCCCCAGGCCGGGUGGGACUCAGUUCCCCGACCAGGGGUGGAACCCGAGUCUUCUGCAUUGGAAGGUAGCUUCUCAACCCCUGGACCACCCCGCCAGUCCCUCCAGACCCCUCUUUGUGACCGCAGGUGAAGCCUUGUGCCCAGUGGGUGGUGGGAUGCCUCAACCUGACUUCGACGCCCCUCCAGCUGUGACCCCAGCAGCAUGGCAUCGAUGGCCAACAAAAAGGAAUGACAGCCAGUGGUUUCAUAUCCGCUUUGUCUUGACGCCCUUCCCCACCUGCCCUGCAGGGUUGGGCCGCGUGAGGCUUUGCAGAAGGCUGGGGCAGAGGCGCCCUGGGAGGCCGUGUUGCUUGGCAGACCGGUGCUGGGUGGUGCUGGUCACCCCAGGCCCCUGGACUCAGUCCUGCAGCCACUCUGGCUGCUGGAUCCAGAGGGUUUGGGGUCCCAGCUGAUAGGCAGAGCUCCCGGAACUGCGGACAGCGGCGGGCUGGGAGGAGCGCAGGGCAGGGCAGGGCGCGCACACCCUUUCCCCAAACAGGUGCCUCCUCCCAGACAUCCCGCUGCAGCUGCUGGUUUCCAGGAAAAGGCCGAUGCAAUCGCUGAGUCGGCGGCUCGAGGCUGGUAUCACCCUGGCAGCUCCGCGGGAUGAGUCUGCUGCUUCGAGGGCCCAGCAGGGCCUGCCCAGGAGCCCCGGACCUGGCCAGCUUCCCGUUACCCGCCCCGCACCAUUGUUCCCGCCUGGUGCCAGCCCUGUGCUCUCCCGCCCCGGCCUCUGGCCCAGAGGGCACCUCAAGCCCCACACCAGCCUGGCUCCGAUUUCCCAGAUACCAGACUUGCUCACACUGGAGCAGAAGCAGGUUUCAGGAGGCCUGUGGUUUGAAUUUCCGGACCACCCGGACCUGCUCCGUGGCCUUGGGCAAGUCCCUUUCCCUCUCUGAGCCUCAGUUUCCUCAUUGUUGAGAGGCAAGUUGUCACACUACUGGGCCUUGCUGUUCAAAGGAAAGGCAGGGGCCCGAGGUGCCAGCUGGUGGGGGGUGCUCAGGAA